UACGUAGGUGGCAAGCGUUGUCCGGAAUUAUUGGGCGUAAAGCGCGCGCAGGCGGUCCUUUAAGUCUGAUGUGAAAGCCCACGGCUCAACCGUGGAAGGUCAUUGGAAACUGGGGGACUUGAGUACAGAAGAGAAGAGUGGAAUUCCACGUGUAGCGGUGAAAUGCGUAGAGAUGUGGAGGAACACCAGUGGCGAAGGCGACUCUUUGGUCUGUAACUGACGCUGAGGCGCGAAAGCGUGGGGAGCAAACAGG
rnacentral:rRNA from 1 species